UGUUUUCAUUUUAGUGUAUGGUGCAGGUAUUAUUACUCAAGCACGGAUUCCAUUGUGGCGAAAGACAUCUUUUGUUUUAAGUUCCGGAGGAGAAGUUAAUUUAGAGCAAUGUUCCAGUGGGCAUAUGGUGGUGUGAAUGGCUCUAUACCACGCAAUGUCGGUCCGGAAUGCGCGAGUUACUUAACACUGAAACGACGGAUAAUAGAAACUUUGUUUAUAUCUGUAUUUAUUAUAUCUUGUAUUAUAUGGGGUCUCAAACGAAUAACUUUGCCAAAGAAACUAGCUUACGUUGGCCAGGACCGUGUAGGCAGGCGAGUCUUGUUGAUUAUGAUGUCAUUGGUCCUGGGGAUGGAAAUCGGUUUUAAAUUCACCAGCAGAACUGUCAUAUAUCUAUUAAAUCCUUGUCAUAUUACAACAGCAUUACAGUUAUAUUUGCUGGCUGCGGAUCCUAGCCCAAUGGUCACUACUAUCUUUAGGAUACAUUUGAAUCUGUUGAAUGGACCGGUAUUAGCAUAUCUAUUUCCAGAAACAGAGUCUCGCAUUAUAUUUGCAGACAAAGCAUUGUACUAUAUUCAGCAUGGUUUGAUGCUUAUAAUACCAUAUUAUUUAUUGAGGAUUGGAGGUGUAUAUAAUAUUGAGCCCUUAUCUGAUAUGAGCUGGUCAAUCCUCAGUUAUGGCCUUAAUGUAGGAUAUCACUUUUGGAUUGUUCAAAGUGUUGCCUUGCCUGUACAGGUGAAUCUUAGUCAUAUGUUAUGUGCAGCUGUUUUGGAUCCAUUUGAAGGUCAAAAUUAUCGAUUAUGGGCAGUAACUCAUCAAUUAAUAUUAUGUCCCACUUUGUGCAAGCUGUUUUGUUAUAUAUCUAAUUUUUUAUUGACUAAGUUUCCAUUAACUAGAGUUAAGCCAUCGCUGGAAUGCAUUAUUCCAAAAAAAAAUUAUACAUAUGAACAGAAUGAAAAAUUAUGUGAAGAAUCUAACACCUCAGGAAAUGGCCAUACACAUUUUGAUUAAUAUGGAAGAGAAAAUUGUUUUAUCAGAGGUAUGUUUGAGCACAUCCAUCUUGAUUCAAUUAAAACAAUUAUAAUUAUGUCUAUUAUAUCAUUUCCUAAAUAUGCUGUACAAGGAAACUAAAAAUGGGAGAUAGGAAAAAAUGAAUUUCUGACAGAUUUAAUUGUGUUACAG